rnacentral:rRNA from 1 species
CACGUAGGGCGCGAGCGUUGUCCGGAAUUAUUGGGCGUAAAGAGCUCGUAGGCGGCCUGUUGCAUCCGCUGUGAAAGCCCGGGGCUUAACCCCGGGUCGGCAGUGGAUACGGGCAGGCUAGAGGUAGGUAGGGGAGAAUGGAAUUCCCGGUGUAGCGGUGAAAUGCGCAGAUAUCGGGAGGAACACCGGUGGCGAAGGCGGUUCUCUGGGCCUUACCUGACGCUGAGGAGCGAAAGCGUGGGGAGCGAACAGG